CCUUACUCUGGUAAAGCAAUUAUUACUUCAUCAAGAUCUAAUAGAGAUCCUAGGAAAAAUCAAGGGGAAUGGACAGAAAACUCUGGUAACUGUUCAUCAUGAUGUGCAAGAAAUACAUCGUGUUGUAGAAAGGGUGAAAAGUGAUGCUGAGCACAAGUGGUGGGAUACCCUUUUCGGGUGGUCACCCACCGCCACCGGUAUCCUGAACAAAUUGUGCCAUCCCAUUGUUGUUCUUCUGGUUUUAGUUAUGAUUGGUUUUGUUUUAUCAGUAAUCUUGCUUAUUGUAAAUUGGAGAAUGAUGAAACGAUGAACAAAAUUAACAUCUAUAAUUAAUGCACACCACUUGGCCGACAUCCUUUACACUAUAGAUGUUCCCAGGACUGUAGACACAAGAAGAUUAUAAGUUUUCGUGUUUUCUCUUUCUUUCCCUUUUCCUCUUCUCUUUUCCCUGCGACGUGCUGCCAACACUUGACGAGUCCUGAAGACUCCACGACGACACCAUGGAAUCCUGCUGAUGAAGAUCUUUCGAGGGCAAUCGUCAGUCACGGGGUGGUGUAAGAGCCCGUCUGAAGCCCCUCAUUUUCCAUUCUGCCUUCCGAUUGCCACAAGAAAGAAUCCCAUCCCCCACUGUAGUUCCGGCUUAGAACAGGACACAGCACAGGUGGAACCACUGAACCGUCACGCUGGCUGUUCCGAACAAGGCCUGUGAUUCAAAUGGACUUAUUCUUCAUUGGAUUCGUCUUGCUUUGGUGGUUACUGUGGACUCACCUGUUCCCUCGGGGCGAUUACAAUGGACUUUCAUUAUUACACUUGUUCCCCCCCUCUCUCCUCUGUGGACUAUAAUUGGACCCCCAAGUCGACCAGAACUUCGAAGACUCCCCCGACACGACAGAUGGAUCCCCAUCGUCCGGAGCACUGAGGAUCUCGCCUGUGUUGGUAGCUAUUCCCAUAUCCCUCUUCUCUCUCUAUCCUUUUAUCUCCUUUCAGAUCCCCACUAUCGCGUUUACUGUUUUGGCCCCUAAUAAAGGUGCAUUUGUUGUGAUUAA